AGGACUGAAAUUUCAUCAGGAGAGGAAUGGCUCGAGGAAAGAAGUCUUGUUGAAAAUUUCACAAAUCUUUCAUCUGCUUUCCCACCAAAAUGGUCAGAGAUUUUGGAGGUUUGUAAAAGGUGUUCAACACUGAACUGUGAAAUAGUGACCGAGCUUUUAGUACAGAAGUUGUCUGUGAAAGAAGAAAGUAUACAAAUGAGGGUGCUUAUUCUACUUGAGGCGAUACUUCACAGAGACCUGGUUGUACUGAAUUCUUUCAGUAAAAGAACCCUUCCUGUUGUUCAAGAUUUGCAGGGAGAAAGCAUACAAGGUCCAGUCCAGGUAAAAGCCAAGAAACUCAUGCUCAUAUUGGAGAAACUUGCAGAAUACCAACUAAAACAAGAAAAUCUCUUCAGAGAAGGUCCUCAAUCAUGAUGGUUAAUCAAUGUAAGUAUAAGAAGACAUUAGAGACUGACAACAAGCUCCUUAUUCAAUUCAUGUGAUGUGAACAUAUUGUGUACAUUAAAUUUUCAUUGAUAUCA